rnacentral:rRNA from 1 species
GACGAACGCUAGCGGCGUGCUUAACACAUGCAAGUCGAACGGUAAGGCCCUUCGGGGUACACGAGUGGCGAACGGGUGAGUAACACGUGGGUGAUCUGCCCUGCACUUCGGGAUAAGCCUGGGAAACUGGGUCUAAUACCGGAUAGGACCACUGCCUGCAUGGGUGGUGGUGGAAAGCUUUUGCGGUGUGGGAUGGGCCCGCGGUCUAUCAGCUUGUUGGUGGGGUGAUGGCCUACCAAGGCGACGACGGGUAGCCGGCCUGAGAGGGUGACCGGCCACACUGGGACUGAGAUACGGCCCAGACUCCUACGGGAGGCAGCAGUGGGGAAUAUUGCACAAUGGGCGCAAGCCUGAUGCAGCGACGCCGCGUGAGGGAUGACGGCCUUCGGGUUGUAAACCUCUUUCAGCACCGACGAAGCGCAAGUGACGGUAGGUGCAGAAGAAGGACCGGCCAACUACGUGCCAGCCGCCGCGGUAA